UACGUAGGCAGCAAGCGUUGUUCGGAAUUACUGGGCGUAAAGAGUGUGUAGGCGGUGCUCUAAGUUCGGUGUGAAAUCUCCCGGCUUAACUGGGAGGGUGCGCCGGAAACUGGAGUGCUCGAACGUGGGAGAGGAAAGCGGAAUUCCUGGUGUAGCGGUGAAAUGCGUAGAUAUCAGGAGGAACACCUGCGGUGUAGACGGCUUUCUGGACCAUUGUUGACGCUGAGACACGAAAGCGUGGGUAGCAAACAGG
rnacentral:rRNA from 1 species